rnacentral:lncRNA from 1 species
CCUGAAUCAGAAACAGAAACUUCUAGACUGAUGUGGUUCAGUGGUGCUUACAUAGGCUAUUGUUUACUACAUCUGCACCAACCUUUCAGGAAGCAUUUGGCUUGUACAUUUAGCUCUGUGGCCCACUGAAGAGAAUUUCCUGUGGGCAGUGGGGUGAGGAACCCUGCCUUAAUCUGCUUCUCAGAGUCAUCUGUGGACCACACCUACACCAGCGCUUCCUUCUGCGCAUCCUAUGGCACCUGUCUACUUCCUGUUUUGGGAAUCCCCACAGAGGCUAGCACAGUGCUGAACUUGUAAAAAUGUGCAGAGAGAAAAAGAUUUCUCUGGUGGCCUUCU